AACGAACGCUGGCGGCAUGCCUUACACAUGCAAGUCGAACGGCAGCACGGACUUCGGUCUGGUGGCGAGUGGCGAACGGGUGAGUAACAUAUCGGAACAUACCCUAGAGUGGGGGAUAACGUAGCGAAAGUUACGCUAAUACCGCAUACGAUCUAAGGAUGAAAGUGGGGGAUCUUCGGACCUCAUGCUCAUGGAGUGGCCGAUAUCUGAUUAGCUAGUUGGUGAGGUAAAGGCUCACCAAGGCGACGAUCAGUAGCUGGUUUGAGAGAACGACCAGCCACACUGGAACUGAGACACGGUCCAGACUCCUACGGGAGGCAGCAGUGGGGAAUUUUGGACAAUGGGCGGCAAGCCUGAUCCAGCCAUGCCGCGUGAGUGAUGAAGGCCCUAGGGUUGUAAAGCUCUUUCACCGGUGAAGAUAAUGACGGUAACCGGAGAAGAAGCCCCGGCUAACUUCGUGCCAGCAG
rnacentral:rRNA from 1 species